UUAACCACAAAAAGAAUCUUGGCAUUCAAAGUAUUUCUUUUCUAUUAUCUUCUCACUUUAACUUUAUUCAAUUUCGUUCAAAAGUUUAUAUGACUAAAAAAAAAAGAGAAAACCAACGAGUAAAAAAACCAUUCCGCUUUCUCCUAACCAUUAAUCAUAGAAUCAUGACUACGCCUCCAUUCACAAUUGGACCGAGAUGAUUUGAUAGUCGGUUCGAAACAUAUGAGUCUUGGAAUCCAAAGGUCGGAUCCUUAAAGCAACAUUUAGAACGUGAGAAACCACAUUCGCUUUGUGUCUACGAAUUUGAUGUAUUUUAAACUUCUACUCCUUAUUGUAAACUUUAUUACUAUGUUGUUAUUUCUAUAGUUAUCUUGAUUUUGUGAUGGUAUUGACCUAGAAAAAAUAUUUUAAUUUGUUAAACGAGUUUAUUUGUGUCAAGAAUCAAGUUUUGUGCAAUGAAAAGUUGUUUCUUAAUGUGUA
rnacentral:lncRNA from 1 species